GAUGAACGCUGGCGGCGUGCCUAAUACAUGCAAGUCGAGCGAACAGACGAGGAGCUUGCUCCUCUGACGUUAGCGGCGGACGGGUGAGUAACACGUGGAUAACCUACCUAUAAGACUGGGAUAACUUCGGGAAACCGGAGCUAAUACCGGAUAAUAUAUUGAACCGCAUGGUUCAAUAGUGAAAGACGGUUUUGCUGUCACUUAUAGAUGGAUCCGCGCCGCAUUAGCUAGUUGGUAAGGUAACGGCUUACCAAGGCAACGAUGCGUAGCCGACCUGAGAGGGUGAUCGGCCACACUCGAACUGAGACACGGUCCAGACUCCUACGGGAGGCAGCAGUAGGGAAUCUUCCGCAAUGGGCGAAAGCCUGACGGAGCAACGCCGCGUGAGUGAUGAAGGUCUUCGGAUCGUAAAACUCUGUUAUUAGGGAAGAACAAAUGUGUAAGUAACUAUGCACGUCUUGACGGUACCUAAUCAGAAAGCCACGGCUAACUACGUG
rnacentral:rRNA from 1 species